rnacentral:misc_RNA from 1 species
AUGAUAGAGGGAGGGGACAAUGGAGAAGGUGAUGAGGAGGAAGAUGAAUUUGGGCCAUUACUGAAGUUUGAGGAUGUGAUGAGAGAGGCAGAGGCUCGUGGGGCUACACUUCCUGCUGAUAUGAUAGAGGCUGCAAAGAGUGUUGGGAUCAGGAAGCUACUUUUGCUUAGAUAUUUGGACUUGCAGGGGUCAGCUUUGCUCGGCACUGCAAUGAGGUCGUGUGCUAUGCUGCGGAACAGAAUGUUGGCUGAUCCAUCAUUUCUUUUCAAAGUUGGAACUGAGAUAGUCAUUGAUACUACUUGUGCAACAGUAGCAGAAGUUCAAAAGAGGGGCAAAGAUUUUUGGGCGGAAUUUGAAUUGUAUGCUGCAGAUAUGUUGGUUGGUGUUGCUGUCAAUGUAGCUCUAGUUGGGUUGCUAGCACCAUAUGCUCGAAUUGGGCAACCUUCUGUAUCUCAAGGUUUUGUUGGUCGUUUUCAGAGAGCUUAUGGAGCACUUCCAAGCAGCGUUUUUGAAGCUGAAAGGCCAGGGUGUAGAUUUUCAUUGAAUCAGAGAAUUGCUGCUUAUUUUUACAAGGGCAUUCUAUAUGGAUUCGUUGGGUUUGGAUGUGGUAUCAUUGGCCAAGGAAUUGCAAAUAUGAUAAUGACUGCCAAGCGG